GGAUAUGAGGGUGAUCUGGCUGUGACCUCUGUCACCCCACUCGUUGCCAGGAUUGAUUCAGCUGAUCUGGCUGGCUAGGCAGUGUCCCCUGCCUCCCUCCCUCUCCAUGUGCAUCCCUCUCAUAGCUGUGCACUCAGUCAAAGAAGAAGGGACCUUCCCAGAUAGAGGAGGACCAUUCUUUGGUCAAGGGUAUAUGAGUAGCUGUGUACCUCUGCUAGAACCUCCAAAUAAGGUCUCGAGAAGAAAAGAAGAUUAAAAAAAUAAUAAACAGUGCAUCCAUUAGUAAGCUAUGGGACAAUGUGAAAUGGUCUAAAAUA
rnacentral:snRNA from 1 species